UAUCGGCCUGGAAAGUAAAUGGAGAAUAUUUUCAAAAAUCAUCUUAAAAAGGAGCAAAAGGAUAAAACAACUUUAAGGAUAUUCAAGGCAACAUUAAGGAGCCACAAAAAGGAUAAUGCAACAGUUUAUUUCAUCAGCAAGGAAAAGGAAUAGGGAUAUACGACUGAAACGUUUUUCCAUAAGGAUUUCUAAGGACUAUAUUCUAUAUCCUAUAUCAUCCUGAAAUGAAUAUUAUUUGAAGCUGCUCUGGGAAAUGCUGAACACACACCUGGCCUGGCCUGGCCUGGCCUGGCCAGUGGCAAGUUUAAUAAUCCGUUUCGCAUUUUGCGUUGAUGCGAAAUCAAUCGAUGUGCAUCGAAUAUGCCCCAAAGGAGUGCCAAGGAGCUGCUGUCUCGGCUCGGACCAUCUACCUCCGGGUCUCCUGGCUAAAAGGGGGCGUGCCAGAUGGCAGAGGCGCAGCACUACCUGUCUUCCUACCAAGGGGAUGCAUAAAUCCAACUCAUUUGCAUGGCCAAGGAAUCAAGGAAGCAGCGCAAGGAUGCGCCACCGGCAAUGCCAUCCAAUUGAAGGAGCCAUCCUGCCUCCCAGCUUUUACUAUCCUCAAAGGCACUGGAAAAAAAUAGAAUCCCGUACCUGAGGUUUAUGGAUGACAAUUAGUAUCUCUGCUGGUUGGAUGGCUAGCUGCUGCUGCUGUUGCUGUUGCUGCU